rnacentral:rRNA from 1 species
ACACGACUACAUUAGAUACCCGCGUAGUCCCAGCCGUAAACUAUGCGCGUUAGGUGUAUCGGUGACCACGAGUUACCGAGGUGCCGAAGGGAAACCGUGAAACGUGCCGCCUGGGAAGUACGGUCGCAAGGCUGAAACUUAAAGGAAUUGGCGGGGAGCACCACAACAGGUGGAGCCUGCGGUUUAAUUGGACUCAACGCCGGGAAGCUCACCGGAUAGGACAGCAGAAUGAUUGCCGGGCUGAAGACCCUGCAUGACUAGCUG